rnacentral:rRNA from 1 species
CGGUAACAGGGGUAGCUUGCUACCCGCUGACGAGCGGCGGACGGGUGAGUAAUGCAUGGGUAUCUGCCCGGUAGUGGGGGAUAACUCGGGGAAACCCGAGCUAAUACCGCAUACGUCCUACGGGAGAAAGCAGGGGAUCUUCGGACCUUGCGCUAUCGGAUGAGCCCAUGUCGGAUUAGCUUGUUGGUGAGGUAACGGCUCACCAAGGCGACGAUCCGUAGCUGGUCUGAGAGGAUGAUCAGCCACACCGGGACUGAGACACGGCCCGGACUCCUACGGGAGGCAGCAGUGGGGAAUAUUGGACAAUGGGGGAAACCCUGAUCCAGCCAUGCCGCGUGUGUGAAGAAGGCCUUCGGGUUGUAAAGCACUUUCAGUGGGGAAGAAGGCAUGAUGAUUAAUACUCGUCAUGAAGGACAUCACCCACAGAAGAAGCACCGGCUAACUCCGUGCCAGCAGCCGCGGUAAUACGGAGGGUGCAAGCGUUAAUCGGAAUUACUGGGCGUAAAGGGCGCGUAGGCGGCUUGCCAAGCCGGAUGUGAAAGCCCCGGGCUCAACCCGGGAACGGCAUUCGGAACUGGUAGGCUAGAGUGCAGGAGAGGAAGGUGGAAUUCCCGGUGUAGCGGUGAAAUGCGUAGAGAUCGGGAGGAAUACCAGUGGCGAAGGCGGCCUUCUGGACUGACACUGACGCUGAGGCGCGAAAGCGUGGGUAGCAAACAGGAUUAGAUACCCUGGUAGUCCACGCCGUAAACGAUGUCGACCAGCCGUUGGACCCCUUGAG